CUUCACUUCCUUGGUGAUAGGCCGACAACUGUUUUGGAACUCUGGUAACCAGGACACUGCAUUCUAGAAAUUCCCGCUUCCCAGCUCACAUAACUGGAGAUGGUCAAGAGAACAUGAUGUUUUGUUGCUGUUGUCCUACAUUCAGGAUCUCUGGGCUCAGGAGAGUCCUGACAGAGAAAUGUUCAUCUUACUGUUGACGUCAGCUCAUCCUUUAUCUCCAAUGCUGCUGGUUGUGUCUGGAGACCUCAACAGGUAGCAAAAGGCAACUUGGGGCAGCCCACUGCAGAGCAGAACACACUGUGAUCUCAGUCCCCCAUUUUGGAGAUUCAGGGGGGAGAGUGACCAGUACAUCAAGAACAGAAGUGGAGAUAGAAUAACAACAGGAAGAAGGGGAGAGGGAGCAUUUAUUAAAGAGGUGGGUCUAGUUUAUUGUUGCCUCACCUUGUCAAAUUGUUCUUUAGCUUUGGCCAACAAAUGGUUAAUGAAAACUUUUGAUGCUGAUAUCAUUUGUGAGACCUCAGUGUAUUAACCAACCAUGCUGCCCAUUCAUCUUACUUCUUUUCUAAGAGAUUUCUCUAGAGAGAUUCCAUUCCAUUCCGGUGAUCUAUAGUUGGUCUUGAAAACACAAAACAUCAUUGGUGAUGUGGUGAGGAUCAAGAAUUAAGACGUGAGAAGCAGACAUUGGAGGAACAUACAAUUUUUCAGGUAGAGGGGAGGGUUCAGGUUUAGAUGAUCUC
rnacentral:lncRNA from 12 species